AUGUACCCAUUAGUAUGUUCUUUGUGUGUGUGUGUGUGUGUGUGUGUGUGUGUGUGUGUGUGUGUGUGUGUGUGUGUGUGUGUGUGUGUGUGUGUGUGUGUGUGUGUGUGUGUGUGUGUGUGUGUGUGUGUGUGUGUGUGUGUGUGUGUGUGUGUGUGUCUAGGGAACACCAGGGGAUCCAGGAGAUGUAGGCCUCCAAGGAAUUCCUGGCCCUUCUGGACCACAGGGUAUAAGAGGAGACUCGGGCCAGCCCGGACCCAGGGGCCUGCAGGGUUUACCUGGACCUCAGGGCACACCUGGAACUAUGGGUGGCAAAGGAUCAACAGGAAGACGAGGGAUGAAUGGACAGAAAGUGCGUUGCCUUUGUUAGAAAUUUGUUAUUCUUCAAUAACACAAACUCCAAAGCAAAUCAGGGGGAGAAAAAUAGGUUUAUUUGAGAAGGAUAAAUCAAGAUGUUAUGCUGGGAGGUAG
rnacentral:lncRNA from 1 species